rnacentral:tRNA from 2 species
UGGGGUGUCGUCUAAUGGUAGGACCGCGGAUUUUGGUUCCGUUAAUCGGGGUUCGAGUCCCUGCACCCCAGCCA